AGGAUGCCCCCCAGAGUCAUUUGCGUCGCAGUUUAGUAAAUCUGCGACGCACUUGAUUUAGUAAAUUGCGUCGCAGUUUUACUAAUCUGCGACGCAAAUGACUCUGGGGGGCAUCCUAGAGUCAUUAACCUCGCAGUUUAACAAAGCUGCGACGCAAAUGACUAAAUUUUAUGCUAAAAUUUGUCAUUUGCGUCACAUGUUCAGAAUGGCGUGGCAAA